UCAAGAUAAGGAAGACAUAAACAUUAAACAUAAACCAUAGUACUCUCUCUGUUUCAACCAAGAUGAUGAGAAGAACACGUGAAGAUGAACAAUCACGUGCUUUCUACGACCUAUCUGCAAUCCUUCUCAACCUCCUCCGCUCACCACCAACGCCGUUGAAUUUCUCCAAUCAUCCACCGGAGCAACCGUUACGGCGUUUACCUCCACCUCAAAUCUCACCCGCGGGUUUUGCCUCCCUUCUUCUGGGAAUUUCGAUGGCUUUGAUGCUCUGUGGAUCUGUCACGUUCUUUAUUGGGUUUGUUUUGAUGCCAUGGGUUAUUGGAUUGAUUAUGGUUCUCUAUGUUGCUGG
rnacentral:lncRNA from 1 species